rnacentral:rRNA from 1 species
UACGUAGGGGGCUAGCGUUGUCCGGAUUUAUUGGGCGUAAAGAGCUCGUAGGCGGCUCGGUAAGUCGGGUGUGAAAACUCGGGGCUCAACCCCGAGACGCCACUCGAUACUGCUGUGGCUUGAGUCCGGUAGGGGAGUGUGGAAUUCCUGGUGUAGCGGUGAAAUGCGCAGAUAUCAGGAGGAACACCGAUGGCGAAGGCAGCACUCUGGGCCGGUACUGACGCUGAGGAGCGAAAGCGUGGGGAGCAAACAGG